AUUGAACGCUGGCGGCAUGCUUUACACAUGCAAGUCGAACGGCAGAGCGGGCUUCGGCCUGGCGGCGAUUGGUGAACGGGUGAGUAAUACAUCGGAACGUGCCCAGUAGUGGGGGAUAGCUCGGCGAAAGCCGGAUUAAUAGCGCAUACGACGUGAGUGUGAAAGUGGGGGAUCUUCGGACCUCGCGAUAUUGGAGUGGCCGAUGGCAGAUUAGCUAGUUGGUGGGGUAAAGGCCUACCAAGGCGACGAUCUGUAGCUGGUCUGAGAGGACGACCAGCCAAACUGGGACUAAGACGCGGCCCAGACUCCUACGGAGGGCGGCAGUGGUGAAUUUUGGACAAUGGGCGAAAGCCUGAUCCAGCAAUGCCGCGUGUGUAAUGAAGGCCGUCGGGUUGUAAAGCACUUUUGGCGGGAGCGAAAAAGACUGUGCCAAUACCACGGUUCGAUGACGGUACCCGCAGAAUAAGCACCGGCUAACUACGUG
rnacentral:rRNA from 1 species